rnacentral:rRNA from 1 species
GACGAACGCUGGCGGCGUGCUUAACACAUGCAAGUCGAACGGAAAGGCCCUGCUUUUGUGGGGUGCUCGAGUGGCGAACGGGUGAGUAACACGUGAGUAACCUGCCCUUGACUUUGGGAUAACUUCAGGAAACUGGGGCUAAUACCGGAUAGGAGCUCCUGCUGCAUGGUGGGGGUUGGAAAGUUUCGGCGGUUGGGGAUGGACUCGCGGCUUAUCAGCUUGUUGGUGGGGUAGUGGCUUACCAAGGCUUUGACGGGUAGCCGGCCUGAGAGGGUGACCGGCCACAUUGGGACUGAGGUACGGCCCAGACUCCUACGGGGGGCAGCAGUGGAGAAUAUUGCACAAUGGGCGGAAGCCUGAUGCAGCAACGCCGCGUGCGGGAUGACGGCCUUCGGGUUGUAAACCGCUUUCGCCUGUGACGAAGCGUGAGUGACGGUAAUGGGUAAAGAAGCACCGGCUAACUACGUG